GGGUUUCCGCCCCUUAGUGCUGCAGCUAACGCAUUAAGCACUCCGCCUGGGGAGUACGACCGCAAGGUKGAAACUCAAAGGAAUUGACGGGGACCCGCACAAGCGGUGGAGCAUGUGGUUUAAUUCGAAGCAACGCGAAGAACCUUACCAAAUCUUGACAUCCUUUGACAACUCUAGAGAUAGAGCCUUCCCCUUCGGGGGACAAAGUGACAGGUGGUGCAUGGUUGUCGUCAGCUCGUGUCGUGAGAUGUUGGGUUAAGUCCCGCAACGAGCGCAACCCUUAAGCUUAGUUGCCAUCAUUAAGUUGGGCACUCUAAGUUGACUGCCGGUGACAAACCGGAGGAAGGUGGGGAUGACGUCAAAUCAUCAUGCCCCUUAUGAUUUGGGCUACACACGUGCUACAAUGGACAAUACAAAGGGCAGCGAAACCGCGAGGUCAAGCAAAUCCCAUAAAGUUGUUCUCAGUUCGGAUUGUAGUCUGCAACUCGACUACAUGAAGCUGGAAUCGCUAGUAAUCGUAGAUCAGCAUGCUACGGUGAAUACGUUCCCGGGUCUUGUACACACCGCCCGUCACACCACGAGAGUUUGUAACACCCGAAGCCGGUGGAGUA
rnacentral:rRNA from 1 species